rnacentral:rRNA from 1 species
GAAGAAGCUUGCUUCUUCUGAUUUAGCGGCGGACGGGUGAGUAACACGUGGGCAACCUGCCCUGUAGAUUGGGAUAACUCCGGGAAACCGGGGCUAAUACCGAAUAAUCCAUUUCCUCACAUGAGGGAAUGUUAAAAGACGGUUUCGGCUGUCACUACAGGAUGGGCCCGCGGCGCAUUAGCUAGUUGGUGGGGUAAUGGCUCACCAAGGCGACGAUGCGUAGCCGACCUGAGAGGGUGAUCGGCCACACUGGGACUGAGACACGGCCCAGACUCCUACGGGAGGCAGCAGUAGGGAAUCUUCCACAAUGGACGAAAGUCUGAUGGAGCAACGCCGCGUGAGUGAAGAAGGUUUUCGGAUCGUAAAACUCUGUUGUGAGGGAAGAAUAAGUACGAGAGUAACUGCUCGUACCUUGACGGUACCUCAUUAGAAAGCC